rnacentral:rRNA from 1 species
UACAGAGGUCCCAAGCGUUGUUCGGAUUCACUGGGCGUAAAGGGCGCGUAGGCGGUCCUGAUCGUCGGAUGUGAAAGGCCUGGGCUCAACCUGGGAAUGGCAUCCGAUACGGCGGGACUGGAGUGUGGGAGAGGUUGGUGGAAUUCCCAGUGUAGAGGUGAAAUUCGUAGAUAUUGGGAAGAACACCGGUGGCGAAGGCGGCCAACUGGACCACAACUGACGCUGAGGCGCGAAAGCGUGGGGAGCAAACAGG